UCAUCUCAUAAGCUACAACAAGACGCUUAUGCUUAAGCUGAUUCCGAAAAUGUUUAUCAUCCUCCAAACGUGGAAUCACACUUCAUCAUCACUGUGCGUACGCCUUCUAUAUCGUCUUCUUCACAUCACGAUGCACCAAGUGAAUAAACAAUGACUCUCUUUCAUCGAUUUGCGACUCGGAAUCAAUAUUCAAAAAUGUUCAGUUGAGCACGCGCGAAAACGAAGGAAAACAGAAUUAUAAUCAAGAAAACUCACCGGAUUUGAAGCUUCAAUUGCAAAUAGGGCGAAUCCAAAUGCGAAAUGGCGGAUACUCAGGUUGAAGAUUGUGAAUCUCAGGUUACAGAUUGAAGAUUGAAAAACUCGUGAAUCUCAGGUAGCAGAUUGAAGAAUCAAAUUGUAGAAUGAAAAAGAUGAAUUGCAUAAUGAAGAAACAAAUUGCAGCAGAAUGAAAGAUUUCUUAUGCAGAAUGAAGAAAACCAUAUGCAGAAUGAAAAAAAACUCUGAUGCAGAAUGAAGAAUUUUAGAUGCAGAAUGAAAAAUCUCUGAUGCAGAAUGAAGAAUUUUAGAUGCGGAAUAAAAAAUCCCCCCCGGAUCAUAGUGCAGAUGCGUUUAAAUAGCUAAAAGUUGUUAAAAUUCAUCUUCAAAUUACUUUGAAAUUCACUUCAAAUUGAUUUAAAAUGAAAAAACAGUUAGAGGUUAGUUAGCUAGUUAUAAUGUAUUAGCUAUCAGUUAGAAAUUAUCACUAAGUUAAUUGUGUGUGGUUCUGUUAGUAUGAGUUGGAAGUAGAGUUAGUUGAUUCAAUCUGUUAGAAUGAAUUGGAAAUAGAUAUUAAGAUCUGAAUGUUGGAUGGAGGUGUUAGUGAGUGAAUUGAACUUUGUUAAUGACUUGGUUUGAUUAGUAGGUUAGUUAUGAGACUUUUGCUGAAUUAGUUAGUUAAACUCCAUUAAACAAUGUGAGGUUUUAAUGUUAGUUAAGAACAGUUGGAGUUAGUUUGUUAAUUGGAUUGUUACAGAGUUUGUGAAUGGUUAAAAGUUAAUUGAUUCUAUAAAAAAUGUCAGUUACAGUUAGACAAAAAAUGCUUAUCAGUUAAUUCAAACAAGUUAAGUAGUUAGCAUUAACUUGGAUUUUUUGAAUGUGUGCUAAACCCAUGAAAUUGAAUUUCAAUAAUUUUUUAUUUGGUUUUAAGUUUUACUUGAAUUGUUAACUAGGGUUAGCUGUUGAUGUUUAAUUAGUUAUGGAAUUGGUAUGCUACCAGUGUUCUAAUUGCCAUUGUUUAUUGCUCAAAGCUUGCCACUACUAUAACUUAGGGGUAUUGUGAAAUGCUUAUGUUAGUUAAAUUUGUCUGUGUUAGUUUGUUAUGAAUUGUUUCAGUUAAUGUCAUGGAACAAAAAAUUAGUUAUGGCGAAUUGAGUCAUGGUUGUUUGAAAUCUUGUUGUUAACAUGCUAAUGUAGGUUAAUUAGAAAUGUUAAUUGACUGUUAGUAAAUUUGUUAGAAAUGUUAGGGUUUCAAGUGUUGGUCAAUUUGACAAUGAUUAAAAGAUAAGGCAGUUAGAUAACUGAAGGAUUAGUUGAGGAUUUGAUACUAGUAAAUGUCAAUUUGAGAAUGGUUACUUAGUUGUACCAGUUGGAGGUUUGUAAAUAAUUUGUAGGUUAAGGGCGAUGUGGUUUAUGGCUUGUAAAUGACUAAGGUGUUAGAGAUUAUAGGGAUUGGUUUUUAUGUGCUGGUGUAUGGUUAUGUGUUGAAUCAUGAUGAAUUAGGUGGUGGGGAUUUGUUAGAACAUGGUGGUUACACACUUGCAUAGCAUUAAUCAUUUUAGAUUUAUGAACUAUCAAUUUGUUGUUAUGUUUUUAUUGUAUGUGCAAUGAUUGGAUAUGAUAGUAUAUGCUAUUGGGCCUUGGAUUAUGUUGUGAGUUGCCCAACUAUCAUGUAUGUAUGUGUAAUGAAUUGUCAUGAUUUGGUUUGUAGGUUGCAUUGUAUGUAUUGUAACUUGUUAAUAAUGAUGGUUUGGUGUUUGUAGGAUGUGAUUCAAGGAUACUUGGAGUGCAUUGGAAAAUGGGGGGCAAGAAGCAAUUCCUUCUUUCAAUCUCACGACAAUGGCUAUAGCGACAUAACUAUGCUUGGACUUGUAAAAAUGUAAUGGAAACAUCUUCAAAAAUGUAGGGAAACUAUUGUAAAUGUAAUGAAACUAUGUAAAUAUUUUGAAACUAAUGUAAAUAUUUUGGUCAAAA